AAAUGUAUGUAAUUUCGAUAAAGCAAUAGGUAAAUAAGAUAGCAAAAUUCUGAAUGAAAUCAACUAUCUGUAUUAUUUGCUCAACAACAACGUAAUUAUUCCUGGCCAAUAGCCCAUUGUGCAGCUCUAGUGCGACAUAAAUGAACAAAUCAAUCAAUCAAUCCUGAUGGAAUAAUUUACUUUUUCACAACCCAUUAGUAUCAAGAGUAGAUUAUGAAAAAGUGUGCGUAACUGAAAUUAAAAAUAUCGUAAAAGAUCUUGAGAUUGCAAAUACGGAAAUGAUUAGCGCAGAAAUGCUUUACCGAGGACGCCUGAGUCCAAGUUUAUUCAUGGAACUAACAGAAAUUAAAUUCUCAACAUGUCUGUGUUUAAAACGCUGAAUGAAAUCAACCAUCGACACAAUUCUCUGAGUAACUAUGAAAAUUAUUUCAGGUGGAAUAAUUUAUUUUCUUAGAACUUAUAAGCAUCAAAAGUGAAUAAUGAAGUGGGCGUAGCUAAAACUAAUAAAUAUUAGGGAAAAUCUUUGGAUUAUAAAAACUGAAAUGAUUGAUAUUAUAAUUACCAUUAUGAAUUUAUGAUAUCGCACAUACUUUACGAAAAAUAUUUUACUGAAUACAGUGUGAUUGUCAAGUUUAUUCAUCGAAAUGGUAGAAAUAACAUUUUCUAUGUAUAACCGUAUCAAAAUGUGAGCUUUACAAUCGAGAGUUUUGAGUGCGCAUAAAUCAAGCUUAGUUUGUUGUUGAAAUCAAUAUCUAACGAUAAGAAAUGAAAAGCUGACAAACUACGUGGACAUUUAUGUGAAAUACUUUAAAUAUAAUUGCUUCGAAGUGAUAGUAGAGUUUUUAUUGUAGUAGAUGACUAUUCUAAUUUGAGAUGAACUUGUAAUUGUGAAAUUGUUGUGAUAAAUUUGGAUGAGAUUCAAGAUCAGAAAUGUGGUCCGUGUGCCUACAUCCCCCAGCAAAAGCCUUUACUUAAGUAUAAAAAAAAUAUUCUGAAGCGACUUUAUUGAGAAGGAGAACAUGUUUAGCGAACAAUAGCUCAGUUAAAUUGAAUCAAUUUUUGGAUUAAUCCAAAUUUAUCCUUACAUGAAUCAGAUGCUAAGCGAUAUGUUAGGAGGCGAACGAAGUUAAGCUUAUCAUCUCCCAGAUUGCACAUCGCCUACUGUUUAGUUGUCAGAGAGUCAAAUAGUCUGGGGAAACAUAUCCAGCAAAGGUGUUUGGAAGGCUGAACUGUAUUACUGGAACUCUGAACUCGUCCAUUUAUAUAAACAUCUUGGAGGAUUAUAAAAAGCCCGUUAUUUUCUAUGAUUUUAAACAUGCUAGAAAUUGAAUUUUUCAACAAGACUGCAUCUUGCCAUACAGCGAAAUCGGUAUCAUCUCAAUUUGGCUAACAAAACUGUUGGAAUCAGUACUUUGAACACUUGAUGAAUCCUGUCCUUCAGUUGGAGAUUCAUCUAUGAAAUUGUUAUUAAUACUCUGAUCAGGUGGGCUCCAAUCAGAUACAUCCCAAAGAUAUCCUAAAAUGAAUAACACAGUUAACAUGAACAAUUAAUCAGGUUCCAAACAAAUUUGGAGGUAUGAGGAUGGUGCUGCAGGUUCACUUCAUAAAUUUUUCUACUAGAAUUGCAAGACCCAACAUCCAGACCAGGAUUAGCAACUAAAGUACCAUCUUCUCUAUCAACGGAAAACAAAUCCUUGUAAGGAGAAACAACUUCAUAAUGUAAUUUAUCAUAUGGGUCACCAUCAGUGGCAUGAAUACGACCCAUA